AGCAACCUUCAUUCUCUGGACAUGGGAGUUCUUCACGGGCCAGCACUCUGCCCCGUACAACAUCGCAGGUCUAACCACGGCUCUGUAGAAUUUUCCUUUGAGUUUGUGUGGGAUUUUCUUGUCAUGUGAGUUCUUUACCCUUUUAUCAUAACUUAUACUAUUUCUAAUUUUCAAUUUUAGUAAACACUCAGAUUACUUAGUGGUACCCCUCUAUCAAUUAUUUCAAAUUAAUGCACAUUAGGACCCCACUGGACAGAUCACUUAGGCAAACUAAUUUUUCAC
rnacentral:lncRNA from 1 species